GUGGUAUGUGACAAGACAGAAAUGGUACUUCCGUCUAUUUUUCCAUCCAAAACUAACGUUUGACAAUGUCAGUGAACACGUGUUAAAUGGACGGUGUGACACCUGUCACCACACCGCCUCAGAUAAAUCCUACGUGUUUAUGUAAUGCCACCUAUUAUUAAUGCAAAUCCAGAUAAUCACAUAAUAUUUUAAGAAUUGAAAUUAAACAACUAAAAACGUUGUCUUCUUCCGAAAAUCAUAGAACCCUAACCCUAAUCGACAGCUCCGGUUCAACAAAUCUCCCCAAACCAAUCUUAGCAACUGAAUCAGAUAAGGCCGACAAUAGAUUUCAGUGGCGUCCCACAGCUCCGGCACGACAGUUUCUCCCAGUAUAUAUCUCACAAUCGGACAAAUGUCAUCAUCAAGUCUCGUACAAGAUUCAGCAGGGAGAAGAUUUUGAGGUUCUUCAGAGAAGAAGUUAUCAUCUGGAUCUUCCUCUGUGGGGCGUGCUGAGAAGUCCUAUCUAUGUUUUUGCGGUUUACCAGCACCUAUAAAGACCUCCUGGACUGAGGACAAUCCUGGGAGAAGAUUUUGGGGUUGCGCCUCAUACAGCUCGAGAACAAAAUCUGAUGCCUGCAAAUUUUUCAAAUGGGUGGACAAACCAACCUGUGCAACAUCUGUGGAGGUCUUAAAACAAAUUAUGAAGCAAGCUAAUGAACUUGAGGAUGAAAAUGGUACCUUGAUGGCAAGGAUGAAAGACUUAGAGAAUGAAAAGGAAAGUUGCAUGGAAAGGGUUAAGCAAUUGGAGAAGAAGAAUGAGAAACACAUGGAAAUCAUUAAGUGUCUGGAGAAGGAAAAUGACAUCUAUAGGGCUGGGAAAAAUUUUUUAUGUAUGUUUUGUUGUUGUUAUGGUUCACAAUGUUGUUGGUUGCUUGUGUUGCACUUGUUAAGUGAGUUUAUAGUUUGACACAUGUAUGUCAAAAUUGUAAGCUUGCAGUAAUGUAUGUGAAUAAUUAAUUUAACAUUUUGCCCACUGUGGUUGUGAUGUAGUGAACAAAAAAUUUCCAA